rnacentral:sRNA from 1 species
AGUUCCCGACAUGCCCUGCCACGGGUGCGCCUGCGUACCGGAGCUACUGCGCCGGGGAGCGGGUUGGUUUAAAAUGCUGUGUUAGUUCCGUGGAAACCCGCUCGCCUGCUGCAGUACGGACCCUCAGGCGGACAGAUGGACUGUAGGGUACAUAUGGAAACUACAGUGUCCAGACCGGUCCUUUCUCCAACCCACAUCAAUGCUACAGCUUCUGAAACAUUCACAGUACUUCAGCAAAGGAUGAGAAUAGUUGAGGAACAGACCAGUUCACUGAGGGAUGACCUAAUAAUGUUGGAUUUUGGUGAAAAAAGAGGCUAUUUGGAAGCUCCAAACCAUUUAGAAGACCUGGACAGCCAGAAAGUCAUUAGUCCUAUCCAAAAUGAAGCAAUUUGUGCAGGAAAAAGAGAUAUUUUAUGGAAGAACUGUGAGUUUCUGGUAAAUCGAAUGUGCCGUCUUGAAAGCCUCAUUCAGUCCUUGAAGAUGAACAUCUUUCGGCUGCAAACUGAAAAGGAUUUGAAUCCUCAGAAAACAGCUUUUCUGAAAGAUCGACUGAAUGCAAUACAGGAAGAGCAUUCUAAGGACCUGAAACUGUUGCAUCUUGAAGUUACGAAUUUGCGCCAGCAACUGAGAGCUGUAAAAGAGGAAGAAGACAAGGCACAAGAUGAGGUGCAAAGGUUGACUGCCACUCUGGAGAUUGCCUCGCAAACAAAGAAGAAUGCAGCCAUUAUUGAAGAGGAACUGAAGACCACAAAACGUAAAAUGAACCUUAAAAUUCAAGAGCUAAGGAGACAACUGGCUCAGGAGAAGUACCUUAGGGAAUCUUUAGAGAAAUCAGCAUCAGCCAUGCUCCUCAAAAUACAAGAAAUGGGAUCAACAGUGGAGGUAGAACGAAAACAGGUGCACAUUUUGCAGCAAAACUGCAUUGCUCUACGUGAUUCUAUACAGAGCACUCAAGAACUACUGGCCCAGGAACAAAAAAAAAAAGAAGAGUUGGAGAUUGCUACUUCACAGCUCAAAUCUGAUCUAAGUAUGAAAAUAGAUGCUAGAAAUCACCUUCUUGUUAGUUUUUUGAGAUUUCAUGGAAAAACUCUUAAGAUCCCAAAUUCUUAAAGUGGCCAGUGUUAUUGGUAUUUCCGACAGUGCUGUAUGUAAAAAAUUGCAGAUUUCCCUUCUACCUGUAGUACUGAGACAGAGAAGGAAUGUUGUUAAUAAUAUAUUUGACCCUCUUAAUUGUAAACUAUUCCUUAUUUGUUUUUUUCCAGCUUGUUUGUGGACCUGGGAAUAUUUGGUUUCUAGACAUCUGGCUUGAAUAUUGGGCAAAAAAGUAAAACAAUAGAUUGAAUAUUUGAUAAUAGAAUAUUAGUAAGGUAGUAAGGCCAUGAAUCCUUGAUAACUUAUGGAUUCUGUCAGUUCAUCGUGUCAGAUUCUCCAUUCUUCAUGUUAUCAAUCUAUUUUGGUUAACCUAUUAUUUGUAGAGAUGGAUAGUUGUAAGGUACCUUUAAGAGAGCUUAGAUUAAUCUCCUCUUUUUAUAGAUGAGUCUUCAAAGAUGACAGAGCUAGGAAAGGAAAGAGCCUAGACUUGAUCCCAAGGUGUUCGGUCAUGUUUCUUCUAACCCAUCAGCCUUUUACCAUACUACUGUUGGUAGUACUUCAUUAUAAAGCAGUUUCCAGAUAGUCUCAAUGACAGAGGUCACAGAGUUACAGGGCAGUGCUUCAUGUGAUUAAUACAUCAUGGUUUACACCGAACUUUCACAUAAACUAUUUCAUUCAAUACUCAAAGCUAUCCUUCCAGAGUUACAAAAGGAAAAAAUGGCAAAGUAAGACCUAGACCUGGAUCUUCUAACUCCAAGCCUAGUGUACUCUCCAGUUCACCUUCUGUGCUCUGUGGCUGUGAUGGGGGCAGAGAAUACCAAAAAGGAAAUGGAAAUUAUAAAAAAUAUAGAGCAAGAGUAAUCUAUUCAAUGUUUUGACUUACUGCUUUUAGCAGAAAAUAUUCCCUUUUCUUAUAGUAGUGAAUUACUGUGUGAAGUUCUCACCGACAAUGCCCCUGGAUAAUUUUCUGUCUUUCUGUAAUUGUGUGCCUACAAAAAUACAUGUAUAUUUUAUGGUG